GGCGGGAGUCCACCUUGAAGCGUAGCACCCGCAGGUCGUGAGUACUGUUCUGAUUCGCGAGGAAGUUCAUUCAUUAGAGGAAGUUCACUUUGGAUUGAAAAAUAGUUAUAUCAGGACGCACAUGGAUCCCUCCAAUUGAAGAAGUUGUCUAGUGAGUUUGAAGCCUCCAUCUGUGAUGUGCGGC